AGCAGCGGUUACAGGAGACAAGAACAAAAUAUGCAGUGUUGUUCAUACCUAUCUGGAUUGUUUGAAUACAGUUAUCACUGACUGCAACUUGGACCCUACCUCUUCUAUUAUAAGCCAAACAAUCGCUGCUGCCAAACAGGCCCUUUCCCAGUAUGGAUGUGGAAGUGGAAAUGGUGCCAGAAGUCUUG